CCAAUAGCGUAUAUUAAAGUUGUUGUGGUUAAAAAGCUCGUAGUUGAACCUUGGGCCUGGCUGGCCGGUCCGCCUCACCGCGUGUACUGGUCCGGCCGGGCCUUUCCCUCUGUGGAACCCCAUGCCCUUCACUGGGCGUGGCGGGGAAACAGGACUUUUACUGUGAAAAAAUUAGAGUGCUCCAGGCAGGCCUAUGCUCGAAUACAUUAGCAUGGAAUAAUAGAAUAGGACGUGUGGUUCUAUUUUGUUGGUUUCUAGGACCGCCGUAAUGAUUAAUAGGGACAGUCGGGGGCAUCAGUAUUCAAUUGUCAGAGGUGAAAUUCUUGGAUUUAUUGAAGACUAACUACUGCGAAAGCAUUUGCCAAGGAUGUUUUCAUUAAUCAGGAACGAAAGUUAGGGGAUCGAAGACGAUCAGAUACCGUCGUAGUCUUAACCAUAAACUAUGCCGACUAGGGAUCGGACGGUGUUAUUUUUUGACCCGUUCGGCACCUUACA
rnacentral:rRNA from 1 species